rnacentral:rRNA from 1 species
GACGAACGCUGGCGGCGUGCUUAACACAUGCAAGUCGAACGGUUCUGCCCUGUUUUUUGCGGGGUGGGUCAGUGGCGAACGGGUGAGUAACACGUGAGUAACCUGCCCCUCACUUCUGGAUAACCGCUUGAAAGGGUGGCUAAUACGGGGUGUUCUGGCUGUGCCGCAUGGUGUGGCUGGGAAAGAUUCACUUUUGUGGUGUUUUGGUGGGGGAUGGGCUCGCGGCCUAUCAGCUUGUUGGUGGGGUGAUGGCCUGCCAAGGCUUUGACGGGUAGCCGGCCUGAGAGGGUGGGCGGUCACACGGGGACUGAGAUACGGCCCAGACUCCUGCGGGAGGCAGCAGUGGGGGGUAGUGCACAAUGGGCGGAAGCCUGAUGCAGCGACGUCGCGUGAGGGAUGGAGGCCUUCGGGUUGUGAACCUCUUUCGCCGGUGAAGAAGGUCCUGCUCUUUGUGGUGGGGUUGACGGUAGCCGGGUUAUGAAGCGCCGGCUAACUACGUG